AUACACCUGUUCCCAUGCCGAACACAGCAGUUAAGCCCUAGAACGCCUGAAGUAGUUGGGGGUUGCCCCCUGUUAGAUAUGGUAGUCGCUUAGC
rnacentral:rRNA from 1 species